AUGGUUGCUUAACAAGUUGAGGCAGAUCCAGUCUAGAAGUUUGGUCGUUCACUUGUGGAAUAGGCAGAGGGGAAGCUAGAGGUUGAAAAGGGAAGCAUCAUCAGUCAUAUAGUCUCUGAUUGUUGUAUCAGUUCAACCCUCUCUAGCUUGUAAUUACAGAAUAAGUAUGACAAUGGCAAAUUGUCUUCUACAAUCGUUCGUUUUAAAUCCUUGGUUGGAGCAUUGAGCCUGAAUUUUUUAGGCAGUGUGGCAAUUGGGAAAAGUAAGUUAUAAUGGUAUUUAUUCCUCCGAAGAGUAUAACUUUUCAUUUUAUGUUUUAUCAUAUUUAAUUACAUCUAAUACAUUUUAAGUGAUUUUAUAGA